ACCUUAGCACGGUCAGGAUACAGUGCAAAGGUAGCAUAAUCAUUUGCCUCUUAAUUAGAGGCUAGUACAAAUGGACAAACGUGAGUCAAGCUGUCUCUUCUCUAUAAAUAAAAAUUAAUCUUUAGGUGAAAAAGCCUAAAUUCUAUAAAAAGACAAAAAGACCCUAUUGAGUUUUAUUACAUAAGCUUUAACCUAUAAUAAAAUAAAUUUCUCAAGUCAAAAGUAAUUUAGUUGGGGCGACUGAGGAAAAGAAUAAAUCUUCCUUAAAGUUUAAGGAUAUAAUCCUAUUUAACGAUCCGCAGAAGCGAUUAAAAGAAAUAACUACCAUAGGGAUAACAGGCUAAUUUCCUUCAAGAGCCCAUAUUGACAAGGAAGU
rnacentral:rRNA from 1 species